rnacentral:rRNA from 1 species
ACGGAGGGUGCAAGCGUUAUCCGGAUUCACUGGGUUUAAAGGGUGCGUAGGUGGGUUGGUAAGUCAGUGGUGAAAUCUCCGAGCUUAACUUGGAAACUGCCAUUGAUACUAUCAAUCUUGAAUACCGUGGAGAUGAGCGGAAUAUGUCAUGUAGCGGUGAAAUGCUUAGAUAUGACAUAGAACACCAAUUGCGAAGGCAGCUCGUUACACGAAUAUUGACACUCAGGCACGAAAGCGUGGGGAUCAAACAGGAUUAGAUACCCUGGUAGUCCACGCCCUAAACGAUGGAUACUCGACAUACGCGAUACACAGUGUGUGUCUGAGCGAAAGCAUUAAGUAUCCCACCUGGGAAGUACGAUCGCAAGAUUG